AUUGAACGCUGGCGGCAGGCCUAACACAUGCAAGUCGAGCGGAUGAAGGGAGCUUGCUCCUGGAUUCAGCGGCGGACGGGUGAGUAAUGCCUAGGAAUCUGCCUGGUAGUGGGGGAUAACGUCCGGAAACGGGCGCUAAUACCGCAUACGUCCUGAGGGAGGAAGUGGGGGAUCUUCGGACCUCACGCUAUCAGAUGAGCCUAGGUCGGAUUAGCCAGUUGGUGGGGUAAAGGCCUACCAAGGCGACGAUCCGUAACUGGUCUGAGAGGAUGAUCAGUCACACUGGAACUGAGACACGGUCCAGACUCCUACGGGAGGCAGCAGUGGGGAAUAUUGGACAAUGGGCGAAAGCCUGAUCCAGCCAUGCCGCGUGUGUGAAGAAGGUCUUCGGAUUGUAAAGCACUUUAAGUUGGGAGGAAGGGCAGUAAGUUAAUACCUUGCUGUUUUGACGUUACCAACAGAAUAAGCACCGGCUAACUUCGUG
rnacentral:rRNA from 1 species